rnacentral:rRNA from 1 species
CGAGAGUUUGAUCCUGGCUCAGGAUGAACGCUAGCGGCAGGCCUAAUACAUGCAAGUCGGACGGGAUCCAUCGGCGAGCUUGCUCAAAGAUGGUGAGAGUGGCGCACGGGUGCGUAACGCGUGAGCAACCUACCUCUAUCAGGGGGAUAGCCUCUCGAAAGAGAGAUUAACACCGCAUAACAUCAACAGUUCGCAUGUUCAGUUGAUUAAAUAUUUAUAGGAUAGAGAUGGGCUCGCGUGACAUUAGCUAGUUGGUAGGGUAACGGCUUACCAAGGCGACGAUGUCUAGGGGCUCUGAGAGGAGAAUCCCCCACACUGGUACUGAGACACGGACCAGACUCCUACGGGAGGCAGCAGUAAGGAAUAUUGGUCAAUGGGCGGAAGCCUGAACCAGCCAUGCCGCGUGCAGGAUGACUGCCCUAUGGGUUGUAAACUGCUUUUGUCCAGGAAUAAACCCAGAUACGUGUAUCUGGCUGAAUGUACUGGAAGAAUAAGGAUCGGCUAACUCCGUGCCAGCAGCCGCGGUAAUACGGAGGAUCCGAGCGUUAUCCGGAUUUAUUGGGUUUAAAGGGUGCGUAGGCGGCCAAUUAAGUCAGGGGUGAAAUACGGUGGCUCAACCAUCGCAGUGCCUUUGAUACUGAUUGGCUUGAAUCCAUUUGAAGUGGGCGGAAUAAGACAAGUAGCGGUGAAAUGCAUAGAUAUGUCUUAGAACUCCGAUUGCGAAGGCAGCUCACUAAGCUGGUAUUGACGCUGAUGCACGAAAGCGUGGGGAUCGAACAGGAUUAGAUACCCUGGUAGUCCACGCCCUAAACGAUGAUAACUCGAUGUUGGCGAUAGACAGCCAGCGUCCCAGCGAAAGCGUAAGUAUCC